AUGUAAACAAAUAAAUAUUAGCAAACAUAUAUAUUGAUGGUUCAUUAAUUAAGGCAUUGCCCAACCAAACAUUCAAACACGAGACUGAUGGUUGAUGAAGGUACAGAUUCUGUUGUACAAAGUACAAGCAUUCUGAGAAAUAUGAUCAAACAGAAAGAACACAUGAUCCUUUUCUUUUGACUCUAUCAUCUCUAGUUUUCCUAGCCAACCACUUUUUUCCAUCAAUUCUUUGUAAUACAAACCCCUAUCUCUAAAACUAUCUUUCUCCGCAACAGCUACAAGGAUCUUGGAGCACCCUAAACCCGAAAGAUUCGGGUCCUUUUCCGGGUUAAACAUCGGGUCAUCCAACCCCCUCCCUAACGGAUUCGCCAAAUUCCAAAACUGAUCCGUAUACGCUUUCAACUGCUUAUGUUUCCCAAGUUCGGAUCCAAUCGGGUUGACUCCUCCAAAAUACGGGUGAAGCAGAAUAACAACCUCUAGGUUUAAUCCAGCUAUCGGGUAAGACCCGAACCGGAUUGCCAUAUUGUGGGCGAUAUUCGCCCCGGCACUAUCUCCUGCGAAAAACACCUUACGGAGAUUAGCAAAUUUGUUCAACCACGGGUCAGGAUCAUGUCCUGUACCAUGGGAAGCGACCCACUGGAUCGCUUCCCAAGAGUCGGUGUACCCGAUUGGAAGUGGAUACUCCGGGCCCAGCCUGUAGUCAACAGAAACCGUGAUAACGUUUGACUUCUCCGUCAGAUGGUUGAGUGGUGGUAGAGUGGAGUGGUGGUGGAUUCGACUACGAAACCACCGCCGUGAAAGCAAAUCAGAACCGGCAGUUUCCGGUUUGGGGUGGCGGUUUUGGGAAUGUAAAUUCUUGCGGACACGUUGGUUUCGUGUGAGAUAACGACGUCGUUUGAUUGGACUCCGGUUGAAGAAUCGAUUCCGGCUGGCAACUUCGUGUUUCCAACUAAUCUUUCACAGUGGCCGUCUUUGUGCACUCUUAUGAAACCAAUGAUUUCGUGAAGAUAUUCAUCGGAUGUUGAUAUCUCUCCCGACCCG
rnacentral:lncRNA from 1 species